AAGCUGAUCUGCUCUGGGUAAGUCGGGACCUAAGGCGAGGUCGAAAGACGUAGCUGAUGGACAACAGGUUGAAAUUCCUGUACUACGAUAUGAAAGAAAUGUGGGGACGCAUGUGGAGAGCAUGAGCCGGGAAAGGAAAGACCGGUGCAAGCGGGACAGUAGCCAUGCAGGCAAAUCCGUGUGGCAAUACGAAGGCGUGACGCGGACCGAAAUAAAGUAGGGAAGCAUGUGAGCCAUGUGCCAAGAAAAGCCGCUAUAGAUCAUAUCGUACCCGUACCGUAAACCGACACAGGUAGAUGAGGAGAGAAUCCUAAGGCCGACGGGAGAAGCAUUGUUAAGGAACUCGGCAAAAUGACCCCGUAACUUCGGGAGAAGGGGUGCCCACGCGAGUGGGCCGCAGAGAAUAGGCUCAAGCAACUGUUUAGCAAAAACACAGGUCUAUGCGAAACCGAAAGGUGAGGUAUAUGGGCUGACGCCUGCCCGGUGCUGGAAGGUUAAGAGGAGGAGUCAGGCAACGAAGCUCCGAAUUUAAGCCCCAGUAAACGGCGGCCGUAACAAUAACGGUCCUAAGGUAGCGAAAUUCCUUGUCGGGUAAGUUCCGACCCGCACGAAAGGCGUAAUGAUUUGAGCACUGUCUCGACAAUGCACCCGGUGAAAUUGAAGUACCAGUGAAGAUGCUGGUUACCUGCGCCAGGACGGAAAGACCCCAUGGAGCUUUACUCCAGUUUGAUACUGGGAUUCGAUACUGAAUGUACAGGAUAGGUGGGAGGCUGAGAAGCGUGGACGCCAGUCUGCGGUGAGCCGCUGUUGGGAUACCACCCUUUGAGUAUUGGAUUUCUAACCUGCGCCCGUGACCCGGGCGGGGGACAAUGUCUGACGGGGAGUUUGACUGGGGCGGUCGCCUCCGAAAGGGUAUCGGAGGCGCUCAAGGUUCCCUCAGAAUGGUUGGAAACCAUUCGCAGAGUGCAAAGGCAGAAGGGAGCUUGACUGUGACACCGACGGGUGGAGCGGGUACGAAAGUAGGACUUAGUGAUCCGGUGGUAUGAAAGUGGGAUUGCCAUCGUUCAACGGAUAAAAGCUACCCUGGGAUAACAGGCUUAUCACUCCCAAGAGUUCACAUCGACGGAGUGGUUUGGCACCUCGAUGUCGGCUCAUCGCAUCCUGGGGCUGUAGCAGGUCCCAAGGGUUGGGCUGUUCGCCCAUUAAAGCGGUACGCGAGCUGGGUUCAGAACGUCGUGAGACAGUUCGGUCCCUAUCCGGCGCAGGCGUAGGAUAUUUGGGAGGAGCUGUCCUUAGUACGAGAGGACCGGGAUGGACAGACCGCUGGUGUAUCUGUUGGUGACCAACACCAUGGCAGAGUAGCCAAGUCUGGCAGGGAUAAACGCUGAAGGCAUCUAAGCGUGAAGCCCCCCUCAAGAUGAGAUAUCCCAAUAAGUAAGACCCCUUAGAGAGUAUGAGGUAGAUAGGCUUAAGGUGUAAGCAUAGUAAUAUGUUCAGCUGAUAAGUACUAAUAGGUCGAGGGCUUAUU
rnacentral:rRNA from 1 species